GUUGAUUGCCCAUACCAGGGCGUUUAAGCACUUGUCUAAUUUGAUCUGGAAUAAACACCGGUGCCUCCCUUAAAGGAAUCACAGGAUAAGCAGGUGUGUCAGGCCCUUCCAGAGGGCAAUUCUGUGGCUGUUGUGAGCUGGGCCAGAUGUACAAGGAGUGUCUGGCUUCCCUGCAGUGGGCCUGAGCCUUAUUGCAGAUAAGGCUUUCACAGGACCAAAUCUAAGUCUGCUGAACAAAAGCCCUGUUCUUACCCAACUCUUCCUCCCUACUCCCCUGACCGUGGCCCAGGGUAGUGGUUCCAUCAUUGAGUAUUGAGCUUAAAAAGAAAAAAAAAUGAAAUAACAACCCUUUAGCCAAGCAUAGAGACCUACUCCUGGAAUCCCCAGUGCUCAGGAGUCUGAGACAGGAAGAUGACUAGUUCAAGGCCUGCUUAGACUACAAUAGAGAGCUCCAGGCCACUCUGGAAAGACUUUCAUUCAAAUCAUCAUUGCCAUCAUCAUCCAAUGAGGACCUUUUCACAAAAGAUAAAGAUAUUGCAUCCUCUUCCUAUCUACCUCAUAACUAAAAAAACCAAAAAUCAACCUCCAGAGUUGGGGCCCUGCUUUCCUUCCAUCCCUGGUGAGAUGUGGGAACUGACUGGACAGGCAGGGCAAGGCAAGGCCUUCUCUGUGUGUCCAUUUGCAUGUUUGAUUCUGCACUGCUUCCUGUUGUCAUCUUCUGCACUGUGUCUACCACGAAGAACUAUUUGAAGAAUACUUCUGAAGGAAAGCAACAGAUAGAGAGUAAGGAAAUAAGAACUGUGACCCUCCUGCUGGCAAGCACUCUGAGGUGGCCUUGGGUCAAGGGCUUAAUUUCCUCUUUCUGGGAUUCCUCAUCUGUGAAUGGAAGAUAAUGAUAUUUUCCUAACUCACCUUCAGAAUUAAUUAAUGGUUGUGUUGCUCUCUGAGUUUAAAGAUGAAACGUUUUCAUUGCAAGCAAUGUGCAUCACCAACAUCACCUACGUCAUAUUAUCAUCAACAUCAUCUCAUCAACACCAUCGUGGUUAUCGACACCAUCAUAGCCACAAGUCCAGAAGAUAAAAGUUAUGAAAUUCCCACACAGAGCUUAUGAAAGCCUUCUUCUUUCUAAACCUUUCAGUCUCCUGUAUCUUUCCGAAGAACCAACCAACUUUCCUGGCUUUGGGGCUCUCACUCUCAGGAGCUAAGUUCCGGGACCCCAGUUUCACACACCCUAACUUUAUUGUACCAUUCUCCCAACAACUGAGCAUGAACGCUUAGGACAAGCUCCAAAGGAAAACUAUAAAAAAGAGGGAUUGAGACACUUUCAGAAGGUCUCAGGGCUCCUAAAAAAAUAAAUAAAACAAAGCAAAAAACCUCACCCCCAGAAUUUCUCCCUAAAUGAUUAAUUUAUUGUACCUUUUUUCCUACUUCCUAUGUGGUAUUCUACAUCAGAUAUUCUCCACCUGGGAGUCAAAACCCUUUCACAGGAGUCAUGUAUCAGAUAUUCUACAUAUCAGAUAUUUAUAUUCUGAUUCAUAACAGAGGAAAUUAUAGUUAUAAAGUAACAAUGAAAUAAUUUUAUGGUUGGAGAUCAGCACAACAUACCCUUUAACUGUAUUAAAGGGUCACAGCAUUAGGAAAGUUGAGAACCACUGUUCUAGAGGGAACUUUUCAUUCCUGGGAGCCUGUUAUUCUUUGAACUCAGUAAACUAUUGACUUCAGGUGGAAAAUUGCAAUCCUUUUGGUGUAUUAGUACAUUUUCUGCCAUAUCACGGAG
ensembl:lncRNA